rnacentral:lncRNA from 10 species
CUGGAUUUGGUCCACAGGCAGUAGUUUGAUGACCCCUGACCUAGAGUAGGCCGAUGCCACAAGAUGCAGGGAUUUUGAAUCCCUGAGUCACUUCUUUGAAGACUGCUGGCCAAACACGCAAUUGGACCAACAUGGCUUUGUGCUGAUGAACAUGGUCACCUUGAAAGGUGUGUUGAAUAUGGCAGAGCCAGAAAAUGCAAGGAGCUUCUUCUCUGGAUCACCACUUGAAGAAGAGCCACUUGCUCCUCAGGAACCCUAUUUUGGACUGACGUUGCAAGAAAGCUCAAGUAGCCUAUGGAGAGGAUGCAAGGCUUCCAGCUGAUGCCCUCAGCCAGGCUCAGUAGCAGCCAGAACUAGCCUACCAACGAACCUGCUGAUCAUGUGCAUAAGCCACCUUGAACGUCGAUCCUCCUGCCUGGUGGAGCCAUCCCAGCUGAUGCCACAUGAAGCAGACACAAGCUGUCCCUACUAAGCUCUGCUCAAGUUGGAUAUUCAUGAGUGAAAUAAAUGACUGUUACUAAGUAAUUAAUUUUUGGGUGGCUGUUAUGUAGCAGUAGAUAAUUGGAACAAAGCUUAUUGACAUAAUACAUCUAUAUCACAUCCUCCAAUCCAUUUUUUUAAGUAAUAAAGUUGAUGUUUGUUUUGAUUUUCAGUUACAGCUUUACAUAUUUUGUCUUAAUUAGUCAAUUUUUUCCAAACUCAAAAUGGGUUUUUGUAAGAGUAGUAGUAGGGUCCUAGAAUAAUGGCAAUUCUCUUUCACUGGAGAAAGUUUUGUAGAGAAGACAAAAGAAUUUUUACAAGUACUCCACUGGUGAAAACUCAUAAACCUUGAAGGUAUUUUUAAAUUCAUCAUGCAUUUAUCAAUUUAUAAAUGAAUUCAUCAUUCAUUGGUCCAUUCAUCCAUCCCUCCAUCCAUUUCUAGAUCCUCUCAUAAGAGGAAAUCUAGGAAUAAGCCUGAUCAGUGAAAGUUUCAUGGGAAAGAGGAAGGAGGAAGAAAUUAUUUUAUUUUUAGAGUUUUGGGAGUUAGUGGUUAUGGACUUGCACUGGAGAAGAUGGGUGAGAAAGUUCAAGGUUUCUAAAAUGGGAAAGUAGGCCUGGAGAAAAUGUUGCAACCAAGAUUAUAAGGCCAAUUACCAGGUCUGAUUACCAGAAAAUAAUUUUUAAGGCAGGAAUAUUAGGCCAUAUCAGUACCUGAAAGAGUGAUCGAGGCUAAUUUGUUCAUUCAUGUAACAACAAUUUAUUAUGUGCUACUAAGUACCAUCACUAUAUUAUAAACUGAGGGUUCAGUAGUGGAUAAGAGAAACUAAUUCCCUGGCCUAAUGAAGAUUUCAUUCAACGGGGAAAACAAGAAACAUAUAUGUAAAUUAGCAAAAGUUAAUAAUAUCAUUCAAAGAGUGCUAAGAGCUCUGAAAAUAGUAAAGCAGGGUGACUGAUAAAACAGGACUAAGCAGGUAACAGUAAGAGGUGAUCAGGGAAAAAACCUCUGAAGAAAACAUAUUUGAUCUGGAAUCCAAAUGGCAAGUAGAAUGAAGAAGGUAAAUAAUUCAUACAAGAGCAUAUCUCUUCCAUAGCAAGUGCAAAGACCCUGGGCAAAUGCCAUAGUUGAGCUAGCACCCACCACUGGCUUCAAGUGAUGGGUGAGUGAUACAGACUCAAGGAAAGGGCCAAAAGGGCAGACAAAACCAGUUCAAUUUGUCACUUAUUCAUCCACCCAUUGAUCCAUCUACUGAUCCAUUUAUCCAUCCAUCCAUCCAUCCAUCCAUCCAUCCAUCCAUCCAUCUAUUCAACAUACAUGUUGGGUGCCCUUUACAUACCAGGACCUGUACUGGGCAUGGGAACUGCAGAGAUGAAAAGAUGAACAAUCUCUGUACUUGAGGGACUCAUCUCACUCUGUGAGAUGAACUGGCAUGUGACUGAAAACUCACUAUAUUGGUAACGAGACUAAAACACAGAGCUUAAUGAUUUAACCUGAUACCACCCAAGUGGUUAGCGGUUAGUGGCAGGGCUUCAGAAUUUUAUUUUCCUUCCCUACAGGGAAAACCAUUAUGUGUGACCUACUUUUUCAAACUCUCUUCCUCAGUGGGGCAACAAUUAGAGUUUAUCUAUUGCUAGUGCUUACCAUUUUAGGCUCCUUUAAUUAGAGUGUUUUAAAUUAGUGUUAUUUUAAUUUUGCUUAUCUCCUGAGACAUUAUAGAGGAUAAAUAGCAAAUGAAAUAAUGUACAUGAAAACACAUUGUAACCCAUAAACCAUCAUACAGAUGUGUGUUAUAUACAGUUUUAUAUUUGAGGAUAUAGCUUUAUGCAUUAGUACUGCUUCCUCCUCAGGGAUGUCUCCAAAAGAAUUCAGAGUAAAACAGACUUGUGGAUUGAUGCUUUAAAGACAUUUUGUAUUUUCUUUAAAAAUAAAAUUGACUCACAGUAGGUGCUUAAUAAAUAUUUGUUCAAAGAAUGCAUAAGAUGCAAUAUUCAGAGACAUAGAUUCAGUGUAGUAGGCAUCAGUGUGGCUACUUGGCUACUUACUGUGCAAAAGAUGUCAAUUUGUGAGUGCAAAUUCAUCUUAAGGAAAUUCUCUGAUUUAAUUUAAGCAUUGGUAGAGAGAUUUACUAUUAUCCUCCUUGGAAAUGAAAAGCAUAUAGCUCAGGGAAGGAAGAUCACAUUUUUAGGAGAACUAUCUGGGGGCAGAUUACCCAAAGUGUUAAUUAUUAUAAUUACUAUUGUUAAGUUGGUUUUAAAGUCCUAUAUGAUGUAAUAUCAUGUUCUCUUUUUGUUUCUCCAG